rnacentral:rRNA from 1 species
GAAACGACUGCUAAGACUGGAUAGGAAGUUUUAAGGCAUCUUCUUGUUUUUAAAGACCUAGCAAUAGGUAUGCUUAGGGAGGAGCUUGCGUCACAUUAGUUAGUUGGUGGGGUAAAGGCCUACCAAGACUAUGAUGUGUAGCUGGGCUGAGAGGUUGAACGGCCACAUUGGGACUGAGACACGGCCCAAACUCCUACGGGAGGCAGCAGUAGGGAAUUUUCGGCAAUGGAGGAAACUCUGACCGAGCAACGCCGCGUGAACGAUGAAGUAUUUCGGUACGUAAAGUUCUUUUAUUAGGGAAGAAUAAAUGAUGGAAAAAUCAUUCUGACGGUACCUAAUGAAUAAGCCCCGGCUAACUAUGUGCCAGCAGCCGCGGUAAUACAUAGGGGGCAAGCGUUAUCCGGAAUUAUUGGGCGUAAAGGGUGCGUAGGCGGUUAAAUAAGUUUAUGGUCUAAGUGCAAUGCUCAACAUUGUGAUGCUAUAAAAACUGUUUAGCUAGAGUAAGAUAGAGGCAAGUGGAAUUCCAUGUGUAGUGGUAAAAUGCGUAAAUAUAUGGAGGAACACCAGUAGCGAAGGCGGCUUGCUGGGUCUUUACUGACGCUGAGGCACGAAAGCGUGGGGAGCAAACAGGAUUAGAUACCCUGGUAGUCCACGCCGUAAACGAUGAGUACUAAACGUUGGGUAAAACCAGUGUUGAAGUUAACACAUUAAGUACUCCGCCUGAGUAGUACGUACGCAAGUAUGAAACUUAAAGGAAUUGACGGGACUCCGCACAAGCGGUGGAUCAUGUUGUUUAAUUCGAAGGUACCCGAAAAACCUCACCAGGUCUUGACAUGCUUCUGCAAAGCUGUAGAAACACAGUGGAGGUUAUCAGUUGCACAGGUGGUGCAUGGUUGUCGUCAGCUCGUGUCGUGAGAUGUUGGGUUAAGUCCCGCAACGAGCGCAACCCUUAUUGUUAGUUACCAGCACGUAAUGGUGGGGACUUUAGCAAGACUGCCAGUGAUAAAUUGGAGGAAGGUGGGGACGACGUCAAAUCAUCAUGCCCCUUAUGACCUGGGCUACAAACGUGAUACAAUGGCUGUUACAAAGGGUAGCUGAAGCGCAAGUUUUUGGCGAAUCUCAAAAAAACAGUCUCAGUUCGGAUUGAAGUCUGCAACUCGACUUCAUGAAGUUGGAAUCGCUAGUAAUCGCGAAUCAGCAUGUCGCGGUGAAUACGUUCUCGGGGUUUGUACACACCGC